UACGAAGGGGGGCUAGCGUUGUUCGGAAUUACUGGGCGUAAAGCGCACGUAGGCGGAUAUUUAAGUCAGGGGGUGAAAUCCCAGAGCUCAACUCUGGAACUGCCUUUGAUACUGGGUAUCUUGAGUAUGGAAGAGGUGAGUGGAAUUCCGAGUGUAGAGGUGAAAUUCGUAGAUAUUCGGAGGAACACCAGUGGCGAAGGCGGCUCACUGGUCCAUUACUGACGCUGAGGUGCGAAAGCGUGGGGAGCAAACAGG
rnacentral:rRNA from 1 species